CGGGUGAGUAAUACAUCGGAACGUGUCUUCUAGUGGGGGAUAACUGCCCGAAAGGGCAGCUAAUACCGCAUGAGACCUGAGGGUGAAAGCGAGGGAUCGUAAGACCUCGCGCUGGAAGAGCGGCCGAUGUCCGAUUAGCUAGUUGGUGAGGUAAAGGCUCACCAAGGCGACGAUCGGUAGCUGGUCUGAGAGGACGACCAGCCACACUGGGACUGAGACACGGCCCAG
rnacentral:rRNA from 1 species